CUUAUUUUUGUUUAUUAUUUCAACCAAACUGUUUUGCACAAAAAACAAAUGAACAAAACUCUGCACAUGAACCCACAGAACCAGAACAGAACCAGAACCAGACUCAGUAUUCAAACAGUAUAAAUGUCCUCAGAGCAGGCUGACAUUCAGAAAAAUCAGAUGGCUGAGCUUGGAUGGGCUGAUACAUUUCUUCUUUCAGUGAAUAUCUGCCGUGUUUUUGAGAAGAUUCUCUCAGAUGGAAGAAGUUGUCUCUCCUCCAUCACCUUCACCAGGUGGGGCAGACUGAGGCCUUGUCCUGCUCCAGCUCAGUGGGUCGUCUGCUGGUUGGAUGAGGGCUUCCUCUAGAUAUGAUCCUCCAUUACCACAUCAGCUGUAGGAUUUCUCCUGAAUCAUCUCCUGUAGCUCUUCCAUCAAAGAGGCUCCACACAGCAGAAGUUUGAGGUUCCUCCUCCACUUGGUCCUCUAAUGGUGGAGGUGUCAGACUGCUGCUCUUAUUCUCUGAAGUUUCUCAUCAACAGCUCUGUUGUCACUGAAGGCAAGCUUCUUUAAUCUAGGAUCCAGUAACAUGUUUUCUGUGAGGACAGUGUUAAACUCCAUACUCCAUUAAAUACGUUAGGAGUCGGCUCUUCAGAUUCACUACAAAGCAUCGGCUCUGAGAGUCCUAUCUUUUGUGCCCUAUACAUCUCUAGAGGACAGACUGUGGUCACAUGCUGACCAUGUUUGGCUCAGCAAACAGCUGUAAGGCAGCUUUCUCAACUAUGAACAUAAUCAAAAUAUGUUUUGAGAACGGCUCAAACAAGCAGCAGCUCAGCUCUCCCAUUAAGCAGCAGAGAUAUUAGGGGAGUGAUAUGAGACAGACAAAAAUGUAAAAGUGUUCAAAUGUUUACAUUUAUGAGAUUUAAUUAUUGUUAAAGAUGUAUAGAAGUUGAUUCAGGUUGUUCAGUCAUGAUUUUUUAAGUUCUGCACUUUAUUCUAAGAUAUACAGUUACAUAUAAGUUAUUUAUUAAUAAAUGUCAAAAUGUUUUUGAACCGUACUGAAUUUAUUUGACGGUCAGUUUUUGAUUACAGGCAGACUCUAAUAAAACUACCAGGUUACAUCAGCAUAUAUCACAGUAACUCAAGUUAGACAUUAUGAUGUUCUGGACCUUUGCUGACUGGACCUCUCUGAAUUUUAGCUGAAUACCCCUGGCUUAGCAGAAGAGGGACAUGAGUCUACAACUGUCAGGGUCCUCUCCUCAUUCCCUCCCCACCUGGCAUCCCAAACAAAACCCCCUCCCUUAUCCUUUUCCUCCCUGUCUUGCCUCCUGUCUCCCAUCCAUCCCUUUUCCUCUGCUUUCCCUCACAGCACUGCACCUGAGUGGAGUUCGGCUUCACAGCCGUCUCCACUCAGGUAAUCAACCUCCUCCACGAGUCCCGGGCAGCUGGAAGAAAUCAUCCUGAUUACUCACCAAGCAAUAAGUACCGGCUCAACACUCCACACCCUGCCAGAUUGUUGAAAUAGACUGCUGUCAGUUCACUCUCUAGCCUCCAGAAAGUUUGUUGAAAAUUUGACGUUUUUCUAGCGUAUCUCUCUCCUGCCUUCUUCCAGACCCAGCUGCCCGGGAACUUACCCACCCGAAACCCUCACCUGAACCCCCCAACCCAUUCGGCACCGGUCUCCUCCCCACUCGGAUCCCCCAUUCCGCCCGGACCCCCUCCUGGAACCCCCGACCCAUUUCCUUCCCGGCCGCUGGAGCUGCAGCAGUCAACCGACUGCUCCCUGCCUCCCGGAGCUCGUCCCGGAACAUCGCCUGCGAGACGCCGUCUCUGCCCGGCCAGUCCAACACCUCGGCCCCCCGGAUCGUCAGAGUGCUACGUCUCGUUCCCUCCGAACCCCUCCUCCUCCAUCGAACUCUGAGCCCUUUGACGUCUGGCCGCCAGGGAUCCCCCACAGCCAUCUGCGACGCUCCGGUCCCGCCCGGACCUUGGACAACCGCCGAUCCCCGUCCCCAGACCCACCCGGCCACAUCCUCCCUCCACCAGCAUCCCUGUUCCUGCAUCCCGGUCUCUGCACUCCAGCCAUAUCCACCCCUGUACAAUAAAACCCUUUUUCAACUUC